rnacentral:tRNA from 4 species
GCGGAUAUGGCGGAACUGGUAGACGCGCUGGAUUUAGGUUCCAGUGCCGCAAGGCGUGGGGGUUCGACUCCCUCUAUCCGCACCA